rfam:Oryza punctata chromosome 11, whole genome shotgun sequence.
AAUACGUGUAAUUUUGCACUAUUCAUAUCCGACGUUUGACCGUUCAUCUUAUUUGAAUUUUUUUUAUGAUUAGUAUUUUUUGUUAUUAUUAGAUGAUAAAAUGGUACUUUAUGUGUGACUAUUUUUUUAAUUUUUUCAUAAAUUUUUCAAAUAAAAUGGACGGUCAAACGUUGGACAUGGAAAUUCAUGGUUGUGUUUGGG